GCCAACGACCAUACCACGUUGAAUACACCAGUUCUCGUCCGAUCACUGAAGUUAAGCAACGUCGGGCGUAGUUAGUANGCCGUUGGCA